rnacentral:misc_RNA from 1 species
AAAAAUAAAAAAAAAAAUAUUUAUAGCAAUAGAUAAAUAAUUUGUCACCAAUAAUGCAUAUUACUAAUAAUAAUACCCUAAAAAAAUUAUAUAUUUCUGUUGGUUGUGGCUUAUCUUUCACAACCAACUCUUGGAUCUGCAGUUAAGAUGGAAUCUCUUAAUCUUUUUAUUUUUAUAAACAACUAAUUGAUCUUGAUGCCCAUCUAACUACAAUGUUAAAUAAGCUUUAAUAUGGCAUCCCUUAUUCCUUCCUAAUAUUUGUUUAAAGUUAAUCUACUUACGCGUUGCAUAAUAAUAAUUUAAAAUUUUAUUUAAUUUAAAUUAAAUAAAAUUUUAAAUUAUUAUUAUGCAACGCGUAAGUAGAUUAACUUUAAACAAAUAUUAGGAAGGAAUAAGGGAUGCCAUAUUAAAGCUUAUUUAACAUUGUAGUUAGAUGGGCAUCAAGAUCAAUUAGUUGUUUAUAAAAAUAAAAAGAUUAAGAGAUUCCAUCUUAACUGCAGAUCCAAGAGUUGGUUGUGAAAGAUAAGCCACAACCAACAGAAAUAUAUAAUUUUUUUAGGGUAUUAUUAUUAGUAAUAUGCAUUAUUGGUGACAAAUUAUUUAUCUAUUGCUA